GAUGAACGCUGGCGGCGUGCUUAACACAUGCAAGUCGAACGGAAAGGCCCAAGCUUGCUUGGGUACUCGAGUGGCGAACGGGUGAGUAACACGUGGGUGAUCUGCCCUGCACUUCGGGAUAAGCCUGGGAAACUGGGUCUAAUACCGGAUAGGACCACAUUUUGGAUGGUGUGGUGGAAAGUUUUUCGGUGUGGGAUGAGCUCGCGGCCUAUCAGCUUGUUGGUGGGGUAAUGGCCUACCAAGGCGUCGGCGGGUAGCCGGCCUGAGAGGGUGUACGGCCACAUUGGGACUGGGGUACGGCCCAGGCUCCUACGGGGGGCAGGAGUGGGGAAUAUUGGACAAUGGGCGCGAGCCUGAUGCAGCGACGCCGGGUGGGGGAUGACGGCCUUCGGGUUGUAAACUCCUUUCGCUAGGGACGAAGCGUUAUGUGACGGUACCUGGAGAAGAAGCACCGGCUAACUACGUG
rnacentral:rRNA from 1 species